rnacentral:rRNA from 1 species
CCUACGGGGCGCAGCAGUCGAGAAUCAUUCACAAUGGGGGAAACCCUGAUGGUGCGACGCCGCGUGGGGGAAUGAAGGUCUUCGGAUUGUACACCCCUGUCAUGUGGGAGCAAAUUAAAAAGAUAGUACCACAAGAGGAAGAGACGGCUAACUCUGUGCCAGCAGCCGCGGUAAUACAGAGGUCUCAAGCGUUGUUCGGAAUCACUGGGCGUAAAGCGUGCGUAGGCUGUUUCGUAAGUCGUGUGUGAAAGGCGCGGGCUCAACCCGCGGACGGCCCAUGAUACUGCGAGACUAGAGUAAUGGAGGGGGAACCGGAAUGCUCGGUGUAGCAGUGAAAUGCGUAGAUAUCGAGAGGAACACUCGUGGCGAAGGCGGGUUCCUGGACAUUAACUGACGCUGAGGCACGAAGGCCAGGGGAGCGAAAGGGAUUAGAUACCCCAGUAGUC